rnacentral:lncRNA from 1 species
CAUCAUAUAGAUCCCAAGAAUAUCCGCGUAAUCCUUAAAAAAAUUUGAGUGAGAAGAGGAGUAGAAUAAAUUAUUACGUCAAGAUUCCUCACCAGAGCAUAGAAGAGGAGAAAAAAGAAUCCUACUCUCUGAUAUAUAACUAGACUCAAAGUAGUUUUUCACUAGACUCGACUCGACCAAGUUCGAUCAAUCAAUGGGGCUCCUAGGUCGGUACUGCUCUGAUACCAACUUGUCACGCUCAAGAUGCGACCCUAUCCUCAAUUUGGCACGAGGCCUCGUCAGGGAUAGAAGCGCAUCUCGUCGUAUCGCAAGAAUGGAUAUCGUUACAAGUACAUGUACUGAAAAGAAGAGAUAUAUAAUAGAAUUGGCUUACACUCGCCACAAGCUACAUCAGAGUCACAUCAGUACAUUACAUAAUCAUCAACAGUACGAGCAGGGUCUGACUACGGACGAAAACAAAUGACAAAAGAAGAAUGACGUCCAUCCUUGCUAUCCCAGGCUGCCGGCCUGGAACCCAUCCUAGAUCGAUGAUGAAGAAGAAGAAGAAGCAACUCCAAAUGAACAAUCAACGCGCUCACGUCAAGUAACCUUUACAUGUACCUGCAACUGGUGUUGUAGUAAUCUGUGAGCCACAGGGGACUCAGCAAUCUCAUUUCCAAAGGUAUCAAGACUAGCAAAACUUAAUGGAUGAGAUAUGGUUAAGUGGUGAGGUUGCAGCAGCGGCUAAGCAAAUAUAUAUGGUGGCUAACUUACAAGUACAAGAAUAAAGAGGGGGAAGAUCUACGCAUAGCGGACGUGAACUACUGAUGAUCAACUGAUUGAUCCUGAACACCUACCUACGUCAGACAUAACCCCACCGUGUCCUCAAUCGGAGAAGGAACUCACAAAAGAGACAGUCACGAUUACGCACACAGUUGGCAUGUUUUAAUUAAGUUAACUUCAUGUUAUCUAGAACGAGUGUUAAACAAAGUUUCCAUGUUGCCACAUAACCGCGGGCACGGGUUUCCAAAAAGAUUUAACCCUGCAGGGGUGCUCCAACUAGUCCAUCACAAAUUACCACAAGCCGCAUAGAAAUCCUCAAUCACGAAGCUCGCGAUCUCGUCGGAUUCCCUAGUGGAAAACCUCAACUCUGAGAUUACCCAAAGCAUCACCAGAAUCCCGAUGCACAAGAUAUUCUGUCAAAGGUAAAACUAAUCCAGCAAGGCCGCCCGACAUGUCAACGAUCCCGAUAGGAGUCGCAUACCUCGUUCUCGGGACAUGACGGAUG